UUGGUUUCUCCCUAAAAUCUUCUCUCUCUGUAAAAUUUGUACGUACAUAAAUACAGAUACACAUUGCACCAAAUCUCAUCAGCGAAAACCUCUAUCCUCCAUUUCGCCCCCCUUUUUCCCCCUUUUUUCUAUCUAAAUUCUCGAUUUUCUUCGAUCCUUCGUCUUCGAUUGUCACUGUUAGAUUCUCAGUAGACCUUUAAUCCCAUGUUUAUACGGUUUUAAUCGGAUUCAUAUGAUUAAUAUUUGUAUUUAUUGGUAAGAACGUAUCGAAAUUUCGAUCUAUGAUUAUUGGGGGAAGAAUCGAUUGAUUGUUAGGUUGAAAUUCAGUGAAUUGAUUUAAUUGGAUUUCGGUGAAAAUUUUCUGAAUCGAAUCGGACGGCGGAGAUUUGAGGAGAGGGAUGGGUAGAUAGAUAGGUGAAAGUUGAAUCGGUUUAAGAGAUUGAUAAGCGAAAAUGCCAGGGUUAGCGCAGAGAAAUGAUGAGCAAAAUGAUAAUGAAACGGCGGUGUUUAAUGCUUCUAGUAAAUCGAUUUCGAGUAAUGGGUUUUGGUCAAAGCAUCGCGAGGAUAUAAGCUACAACCAGCUUCAGAAGUUCUGGAAUGAGCUAUCACCUCAAGCUCGGCAGAAUCUUCUAAAGAUUGACAAACAAACUCUCUUUGAGCAAGCUCGUAAGAACAUGUACUGUUCUAGAUGCAAUGGAUUACUGCUCGAAGGUUUUUUCCAAAUUGUCAUGUAUGGGAAGUCAUUGCAGCAUGAGGAUGCAGGUGCUCACCGUCCUUGCAGCAGAGUAGGGACAUUGAAGGAUCAAUGUGAUGGAGAGUUGCGUGCAACAACAGGGUCUGAGUAUGAUGUUCAAGAUCCAUCUGUCCAUCCUUGGGGAGGUCUAACCACAACACGAGAUGGGAUGCUUACCUUGUUGGAUUGUUAUCUAUAUACCAAAUCCCUGAAGGGACUUCAAAAUGUGUUUGACAGUUCACGUGGAAGGGAACGAGAGAGAGAACUACUUUAUCCUGAUGCUUGUGGUGGAGGUGCUAGGGGUUGGAUAAGCCAAGGGAUGGCAACUUAUGGCAGAGGGCAUGGAACAAGAGAAACAUGUGCUCUUCAUACUACCAGACUCUCUGUAGACACAUUGGUAGACUUCUGGACUGCCCUGGGGGAAGAGACACGACAGUCUCUUCUGAAAAUGAAGGAAGAGGACUUUAUCGAAAGGCUCAUGUACCGGUUUGAUAGCAAGAGAUUUUGUAGAGAUUGUAGAAGGAAUGUUAUCCGUGAAUUCAAGGAGCUGAAGGAGUUGAAACGCAUGCGCAGAGAACCUCAUUGCAGUAUUUGGUUUUGUGUUGCUGAUGCAGCAUUCCAGUAUGAGGUUUCUCACGACACAAUUGUAGCUGACUGGCAUCAGGCGUUCAUUGAUACCUUUGGGACAUAUCAUCACUUUGAAUGGGCAGUUGGAACUGGAGAAGGAAAAUGUGAUAUAUUGGACUAUGAAAAUGUUGGCUUGAGUGGAAGAGUGCAAGUCAGUGGUCUAGACUUGAGCGGUUUCAAUGCCUGCUAUAUCACUCUACGGGCAUGGAAACUGGAUGGCAGAUGUACUGAACUUUCUGUCAAAGCACAUGCAUUGAAGGGGCAACAAUGUGUACAUUGCAGGCUUGUGGUUGGGGAUGGUUUUGUUACAAUAACAAGAGGGGAAAGCAUUAGGAGGUUCUUUGAGCAUGCUGAAGAGGCUGAAGAAGAAGAGGAUGAGGAUUCCAUGGACAAGGAUGGAAAUGAACUAGAUGGUGAAUGCUCGCGUCCUCAAAAACAUGCCAAGAGUCCUGAACUUGCUCGGGAAUUUCUUCUAGAUGCUGCAACUGUAAUUUUUAAGGAGCAGGUUGAAAAAGCUUUUAGAGAAGGAACUGCACGGCAAAAUGCACAUAGCAUAUUUGUAUGCCUUGCAUUGAAGUUGCUGGAGGAGCGCAUUCAUGUUGCCUGCAAGGAGAUUGUUACUUUAGAAAAGCAGAUGAAACUUCUCGAGGAAGAAGAGAAGGAAAAACGUGAAGAAGAAGAACGCAAGGAGAGGAGGAGGAUAAAAGAAAAGGAAAAGAAGCUGCGGAGGAAGGAGAGAUUAAGAGAAAAAGAAAAGGAUAGAGAGAAGAAAAGUUGCGACUCAAACCAAAGUAAUUUUACCCCUGAUGAUGUUUCAAAGGAGGAAUUAUCACCUAACGUUGAUGAGGAAUUAUCACCUAACGUUGAUGAGGAAUCUAAUCUGAUGGGCUAUACAGACUCGGUAAGUGAAGCUGGGGAAGUUAAUUUAUCCUGCCCUUUAUCGCCGAAUGAUGAAGAUGAUCUACUUUUGGAUGGAUAUAAUCACCCAAGUAUGCAAAUCAACUCCGAUGAUUAUUUUGAGGAAUUCAAUAUGAACGAGGGGAAUGGCUCAUUUCCAGCUGACUAUAUGAGACAUUCUGGGAGGUUGAAAUUUCGAAAAGAAUUUGAACCAGAUUCAAGCCUGAAAUGGUUUGAUGGACGUCGAUUUGCUGUUUCAGGCAGUGGAGGUGCGGCAAGUAAGUAUGAGCCAAGACAUCGCUGUGAUAACUUUGAAGCUUCAAGGAGUACCAACAGGUUAAAUAAGCCAUUAAGAAGUAAUGCUGCAAAAUCCAGCAUGAAAGAUGGUGCCUCUAAGUUUGCUGAAAAGUUGAAUUGUUCCAAUAUCAGGAAGUAUGACCGAUAUGAAUCCUCAGAUUGCAGCUGUAACCAACACAGUGACGACAGAGCUAAGUUGUACCCAAACAUGGCCAGAGGAAUCGGGAACAACAAACCUGUGAGUAAGUUAGGAUGCGAAUCAGAUAUCUCCAAGCCCUACUAUGGAACCAAAUAUAAUCAGGUUGAAUAUGCGCGUGAAAAUUGUGCAAGACCCAAAAGCAAAAUGGCUAUACGUAAUAAUCUGUCUAGCAGAGAUUCAUCUGUUAUUAAAGGUAUGGGAACCAAUGGAAUUGCGAAAGAAAUAUCCAAGGAGCAGCUCUGACUCUGAUGUUACCUUGAGAUCUUCAACUUUCCAGAUUGAGAGCACUGGAAUUGAUAAGCAUCCCGAGCCUUCUAUUUCUAAUAAUUUGGGAGUAUCCAGUUCUCUUCAGUUAAAUGAAGAAAAGGACAUACAAGAAUUAAGAAAGUCUAGUUCUGAAACUAAAAGCAACUGUGCAAGUGGUUUUCACUUGGAAGAUAAAUCACUUUGUUAUGUGAAAGAAGUGGCUGAAGAUGAAGUUGAUUCUUGUCUGAUGCCGAGGUCUUCCUCUCAGAGGACUUUGGGUUUAUCACAAAGCAGCUCUUCUAAUUCUGAUAAUUGCUCAUCCUGCCUUAGUGAGGGAGACAGUGCUACAUCCUUUUCAAAUCCACAUAAUUCAGAAUCAUCAUCGACGUCAGAUUCAGAAGAUUGCAGCAAAAACUCUGAAGGAAGAGAAACUUCUGAAGUUAUGCAGAAUGCUUUUGCUGAAUGCUACGAAGUUGCACAAGAAAAAAGAACUGCUACUGCUAGAGGUGAGGAUGUCAGUUCCCUGACACCAAAUUCUGUAGGAACUCCUGUGGGAAGUUUCCCGAACACAGCUGCUUCAACAAAUGCAAAUGUGAAUGGGACUCUUGGCAUGCGACCUCAAUCCUUGCGUCCACCAGUUCACAGUCAAGGCACACACUUCCCAAGGUUUCAAGUUCCUGCAAUGGACUAUUAUUAUCAAACUCCACCUUCUUGGGCGACUGCUCCUGUAAAUGGGUUCAUGCCAUUUCCUCAUCCAAACCAUUAUGUAUUUGCUACUCCAUUUUCAUAUGGUUUAAAUGCGAAUGCCCAUUUCAUGCAGCAUGGUGCCCUGCAGCAUCUGAUCCCUCCACCCAUUAACCAUGGCCACUUGCCUGUUUUUCAAUCAGUUACUCCAACCAGUGACAGAUGCAUCAAGGAAAAUGCCAGGGUUUCAACAGUUGGUAGGUUAAAGGAUCCCCAUCAGGAGGCUAAUGUCCAAAGGAUGGCUCCAGUAGGACAGCACACAAUGGAGAAAUCAACGACUGCUGGAUCCGGUGAAACUGAGGAGUCUAGAAAUUCAGGCUUCUCUCUUUUCUCUUUCACACCCGAUCCUUUUUCUUUAAAAGAAGGGAUGGUGAGGAACUUAUCUUCAAAUUUGACAACCAAUCACAUUGCGGAUGAAAGUGGCUGCAAUAAGAAAGAACCCAUUGAAGAGUACAAUCCAUUUGCAAAUCGAAUUGAGUUUCCCUUUUCUGAUAUAGUUAGAUAGAGAAGGUGGCUGCCUGCCUGAGAUUUCAGUUUCUAUCCUCUGCUGAGUGAUGGAAGUUUGAGAACUUGUAAUUUUGGUGCACAAUAAUCCACCUCAGGAUUUUUUAUUUUUUUUACCUUGUCAUGACUUCCUUUAUAUGGUUUGAUUUGCUUU